rnacentral:tRNA from 1 species
AUUUAUAUAGUUUAAAUAGUAAAACAUUACAUUUUCAUUGUAAAAUUAAUUUUUUUUUAUAAAUA